GUUUUUACCGUUCUAAAUAAAGUAACGGAAGUUUCAUCUGCGCAUGGGCGAACAUUUGUUGCCAGACGAUAAUGUCAACAAAGAUGGCUGAAAUAGAAAGCAAGAAGAAGCGGUAGGAAAACUUCAGCGCCAACGACUGCUUGUUGCUGGCUCAAAUUAUAAAUGAGCCGGUUAAAGAAGGGUCUAUUUUGACCCGUUAUGCUUAUCUAAAAAGCAGAUUCAAUCCAUCAAUUACUUCUGCAUCAAAGAAGAUUAUGUGGGAGACUGUCUCUUCCAUUUUCAAUGUGAGGGCAGAGUAUCCGAGGGAAUGUAUUGUCCUGCAGAAAAAGUGGGACAAUCUGGUACAGACCCACAGGGCCAAAUAUCAAGACCAUCUGUUGGCACAAAACAGAACAGGCACUCUGACUACCUGGCUGUGGAUUCAGAUAUGGUGUAAGCAGCCAUUCUGAACAUGCAUAUCCACUGUCGCCCAGAAUGUGAUAUCUGCCUCUAAAGGGAAUAUGCCCGUCCGCAAACAUCUGGCGUAGACCACUGUUAUUGAGAAUUCUACUGUCAUGCACACUUCCAGGCCAACGUGCAACAAUAUUUGUUAUUUUGUCAAAAGCAUCAAUGACAAUUUGAACAUUUAUACUGUGAAAACCUUUUCGAUUCACAUACACUGCUUCAUCUUCUGAUGGCGCCUUUAUUCGAACAUGAGUUCCAUCAAUUAAUCCUACCACUCUUGGAAAUCGGGCAAUUCCAUGAAAAUGUUCUACCUGAACAUCUAGCUCUUGAAUGGUGGUUGGAAAUUUAAUAAAUCUGUUUACAAACCGUUGAGAUGAAAGUUGUUGUGUAACCUCGUUAAUUACUUUAGAAACGGUGGACUGUGAAACAUUGUGUAUGUCGGCAUCAUUCAAUUGUAUGCCACCAGUGGCCAAGAAUCUUAAGGUCAAGAGGAUUUUUUCCAUGGCAGAGAGACUAUUAUGUCGGUGAGUUGCUGGCUGUAUUCUUGGGCCAAGUAAUUGUUCCAGAAACAUCAACCCAUUUCUAUCAAAUCUGUACCGUUCUAAUAGUUGACCAUUUGUAAGAAGAUCAACUAUAUUUUCUCUAACUUGCAUGAUUGUCUACAAAAAAAGACAAUUAAACUUUAUUAUUUUAUAACGAUAAAAUAUAUAAAUCACUUACCUGCAUUUCAUUUAAAAUCCAAUUGAGUUUUUGAACAA